UGGAGAAUCUUGCACAAUGGGGGAAACCCUGAUGCAGCGACGCCGCGUGGAUGAUGAAGGCCCUCUGGGUUGUAAAGUCCUUUUCUACGGGAAGAACGUGCUUGAUAGUAACUGAUCAAGUAAUGACGGUACCGUAGGAAUCAGUCACGGCUAACUCUGUGCCAGCAGCCGCGGUAAUACAGAGGUGGCAAAUGUUGCUCGGAAUUACUGGGCGUAAAGGACGCGCAGGCGGGUUGUUAAGUCAAGAGUGAAACCCAUCGGCUCAACCGGUGGCAUGCUUUUGAAACUGGCGAUCUUGAGACACGUAGGGGAUGAUGGAACACCUGGAGUAGCGGUGAAAUGCGUAGAUAUCAGGUGGAACACCGGUGGCGAAGGCGAUCAUCUGGACGAGGUCUGACGCUGAGGCGUGAAAGCCGGGGGAGCAAACAGG
rnacentral:rRNA from 1 species